UACGUAGGGUGCGAGCGUUGUCCGGAAUUAUUGGGCGUAAAGGGCUCGUAGGCGGUCUGUCACGUCGGGAGUGAAAACUCAGGGCUUAACCCUGAGCCUGCUUCCGAUACGGGCUGACUAGAGGUAUGCAGGGGAGACGGAAUUCCUGGUGUAGCGGUGAAAUGCGCAGAUAUCAGGAGGAACACCGGUGGCGAAGGCGGUUCUCUGGGCAUUACCUGACGCUGAGGAGCGAAAGUGUGGGGAGCGAACAGG
rnacentral:rRNA from 1 species